CCCUUAGAUGUCCUGGGCCGCACGCGCGCUACACUGACAUGUUCAACAAGUUUCUCCUAGUUCGACAGGACUGGGUAAUCUUUGAACGCAUGUCGUGAUAGGGAUAGAUCAUUGCAAUUAUUGAUCUUGAACGAGGAAUUCCUAGUAAACGCGAGUCAUCAGCUCGCAUUGAUUACGUCCCUGCCCUUUGUACACACCGCCCGUCGCACCUACCGAUUGAAUGUUUCGGUGAAGAUUCCGGAUAGGACUGAUUUGAUUUAUUUCAUUUCUGACCUAAAAGCUAUCUAAACCUCAACAUUUAGAGGAAGGUGAAGUCGUAACA
rnacentral:rRNA from 1 species